UACGAAGGGGGCGAGCGUUAUUCGGAAUCACUGGGCGUAAAGCGUGCGUAGGCGGUCUUCUAAGUCAGGAGUGAAAGCCCGGGGCUCAACCCCGGAAUUGCUCUUGAAACUGGAAGGCUAGAAUUUGGGAGAGGAUAGCGGAAUUCUCAGUGUAGCAGUGAAAUGCGUAGAUAUUGAGAGGAACACCGGUGGCGUAAGCGGCUAUCUGGACCAACAUUGACGCUGAGGCACGAAAGCGUGGGGAUCAAACGGG
rnacentral:rRNA from 1 species